rnacentral:misc_RNA from 1 species
AAGUCGUAACAAGGUUUCCCCGGAAGGAUCAUUAGCCACCCGUGCACCUUCAUCCUUCUUGCUUUCUACUACUAGUCUUAGCAUUACUUGCAUCUUGAGUUUCGGAGUGUCUGUGUUCCCGGAGGCGGAAUAGCAACGCCCUCGCAAGGGAGGUUCGGCGCAGUUAGCGAGUUAUGUGUGUCAUGACGAAAAUAACCAAAGAGGAGGACCGAACCUUUUGCUUUACUUGCGAAGCUGUCUUGGCCUAAGAUAUACACUAGCCAGGGCAGUUCGAGGCUCCUCUCCGGCUUGCAUAACUCUUGCUGAUAAGACUUGCCUCACAGAUUGAUUUCAUAAAACCAUGGAAAACUAAGUCUUCCGCUCGGGCCCUAACGCGGUCCGAGAGUCCCCGAACACUGUUAACAACACUGGCGCUCUUGGCUCUU